UGAGGUCCCACAGGCAAAGGCCUGGAUUUUCCAGAAACAGAACACAAUGCUGGGCAAAACAGGUGAUGGGAAAUGGAAUGAGGAGGGAGGGGGAUGGCUAGAGGAGGGUGGAGAGGAUCCCAUCCACAGGACCAGCUGGGUGGGCGACAGGGGCUUCUGGGAAGGAAGAACAGGAAGGGGACAUGAGAGUGUGUCCAGGAAGGGGAGAAGGGGCAUCAGCUCCCUGGGUGGGCCCAGCCCACCUGCAGUCUCACUGCCUCUAUUAGAGGUGAUGGGCUGUCGGGAGGGGAAGGGCAGAGGUGCCAUUGUGUCCUCUUGUUUUAGUGUCACUGGCUUCCCCUGGAUCGCUCCCUGAGGG
rnacentral:lncRNA from 1 species